rnacentral:rRNA from 1 species
GACGAACGCUGGCGGCGUGCCUAAUACAUGCAUGUCGAGCGAAGCGGCGGAUGGGUGAGUAACGCGUGGGUAACCUGCCCUUAAGUCUGGGAUACCAUUUUGAAACAGAUUCUAAUACCGGAUACUAAAGGAUGGACCUGCGAUGCAUUAGCUAGUUGGUAAGGUAACGGCUUACCAAGGCGAUGAUGCAGAGCCGAGGUGGGAGACGGAUCGGCCACAUUGGGACUGAGAAACGGCCCAAACUCCUACGUGAGGCAGCAGUAGGGAAUAGUCCACAAUGGACGAAAGUCUGAUGGAGCAAAGCCGCGUGAGUGAAGAAGGUUUUCGGAUCGUAAAGCGCUGUUGUUGGUGAAGCGGUAAUCAACCAGAAAGUAACGGCGAAAUACGUGCCAGCAGCCGCGGUAAUUC